UAAAAGAAUAAUGAAACACUACGCCACCCUCAAUUGUCUAAAUUGUGCAGACAAAUGUAUUACAUAUAAACCAAGUAAGAAUUUUACUAUUCAAAGCACACAACUUCAUGAUUCAUUAAUUUCCAAUUUUAAGGGUAACUCAAACCACAAACCAACCAUAAACCCGAUUCUCGAAUUUUCCGAUUGAACCCUCUUCAUGAUUGAUCGUUCUCAUCUUCAGGUGCCCUCCCUCCCCAUUUUUCAUUAUUUACAAGGCAACUAUGACAAAAGUCAUCCCUGGAGUAUACAAGUGUCGCAAAAUAUUGUUUCCAUUUCUUUUUCUUCUGCUGAGAUCCCAAUCUCUUAUUUUAAAAAUAAUAAUAAGAACAACAGUUACAGAACAGACAUCAACCAUAAACUUUAGAUUCAAAUCUUUUACAUUUUGGUGGUGUGACAACGAACAGGACCCAGACUAAUAAUCAUCUCCUCUUGAUAUAACUUCCUUGCAAGUUGGCCGUAGCAAGAUAGUAUGCUCAAACUGGGAUACCCAACUGCCCUUAAUAUCGCAUAGAGGAGGACAUGGCUGAACAAUUCCAGCAUCACAUAAAUUCUUUAAUGCCAUCAAAUAUUUAGUUUCCCCCAGGCGGUCUAAAUAUCGUCUACAGAAAGCCAAUGUGGAGAAGUUCUUGUUGAUUGUUGCUAACAGUUGCUUUGCUCUUGGUAACCUCAGUGGGAUAUGGCCAACAUCAAAAUUUUUCAUGUAAUGGCUGCACUCUAGAUCUUCCCUGACAUAGCCUUUUCCUGUUGAUGCAAAUGUUUCAAUUGCAAAGAAUUCACCCUCUUCCAUUUUUGUCUGCUCCCCUCCUUUAACUAUUGGAACUGAUUUUUCGGCAUGGACAUGAUAACGACCAAUGCUGUGUCCAUUCAAGUUGCGAAUGCUUUUAACUGCCAAUGGCAUUUUAAGUUCAUGUCAAACACAGACAAGUAUGCAUGGGUUAUUCAAUAAAAAUUCACAGAUCUUAGUACUAUGAACAAAUUCAUUGUCUAAUGACAAAGAUACAACAUUGAACUACCGAAGUGCUUUUGUUUCCAAAGUGCAACAGAAUGUAUACAAGGGACAUCCUCUUUUCAACACCAUAUUAAAGUGAUAUAGCUAACCUAGAUUAUGAUAUUGUUCCAGUUGUGCCAAAAAAAACAAUAUCAAAAUUUCAAGCUUCAGCAAUAGAAGAAGUACGGAUAACGGAAAUACAAUGACUGCAUUGGUAAUUGGUAAAACAGUCUGGUAAAAUUACAAUUCUAAGAUUAUAGACACUACAAACCAGAUCACAUGACAAAGGGAGAAGAAACGUAAAACUUUGGAUAUCAAGCUUAUCAUUACCUCCAUCCAUCUUUUGAAGAUCAAAGAAGCUAUUCAUCAACGUGUCUAACUUGUUAUUCAGCUUAGCACUAAACUGUUCAUAGAAACUUAGUGGAAGAAACAGCUUGAACCAAAAUAGUACCACCUCAAAAUGGCAUGACUAAUGAGCAAUAUAGAAUAAUACAGAGUGGAAAGGAAAUAUCAUAAUUAUAUUUUUUAAAUAUAUAAUUAUUUAUUGAUUGUAGAAAAAUAAUAGAACAGUCAUUAAAAAUUGUGUUUUCUUUCUUUAUAUAUUUAUUGGGUGUGCUUAUUCACACUCAACUUCUUAAAAUUCACUUCACUUUUUUUUUAUAAAAAAUUUUUAGUUCAAACGCCAAUACGAAUUCAAUAAUAUUAAAUAUAAUAUUAAUAAACAAAAUAUUAUAAAUCAUUAAAGAUAACCCACAAGGAAAUAAAGAUCAGGAUAUAGCAGGAGCAAUGGUUGGAAUUCUUUGAAGGUCCCAGAAGGCAGGAUGCAUGCCAAUUUGAUAUAACCAUAUCAAGAGGCCACAAACAAAUUCUCCAACUUAAUUCUGGCCAUGGAUCAAAGCAGUAGCAUAAUGGCUCAAAACAGCCAUAAUAGAAGAAAGGUUUGUUCCAAAAGUAAUUUGAGAGAUGGAGUAAAAAAGCUUUAAUGGAUUGCUGAACCAAUUUUAUGUUUAUGAAAGAGAGAAAAGGAGCGACAGGCAUAUGAAUUGGAGCUUUGAAAAUAUUACAGUUUUAGGUCAACGCAAUAUUAAUUUAAUAACUGAUUUAGCACAAUUUUAGUUAAUGAUACACACAUUUGAGUUCACAAUUAUGGCUAAUUACACCUUUUUCGUUAUUUUUUUUUGGUAAAUAUAGAAUCUAAAAAUAUUAUUUUUUAUCCAUUUAAAUGUUCUCCUGCACAUCCAUGCCUUUACAACAUAUUAUUGAUUUAUAAAAGAUUUUACUUUAUGACCAUAGCAAAUGACAACUUCUAAUUGGUAUAUGUUAUUCAUAUAUAACUAUCUUCAGUAUUGCAAUCAGAGCAUUCUGUAAUUGUUUCCCUAAACAGCCCCAUAGUUUUCAACUGCAAUACCAAAUAGAGACAACUCCAGUCAUGGCCGAGUCCGGGUCCUGACUCAGAACCAGACUGGUCCAACCUGGAUUGACCAAAACUGACCUUAAAACUGUUCCGAAACUGGUCGGUCCAAUUCCAGGACAAAACCUUUUUUUCAUUUUUUUUAAAAAAGAAAACAAUUUCAAAAAAUUUCAACCAUUAGAUUUUAUCAAAAAAGACCAAACUUGAACCAAAACCGCAACCAGGGUGGACCCUUCGGUUCUGGCCCAGCUAGCCCUGACCCUUGAACCAGAACUGGCGGUUUCUGCUCAAACUGAACCGCUGUUCAUGCCUAACUAACUAACUAUAUA
rnacentral:misc_RNA from 1 species